rnacentral:rRNA from 5 species
CCUACGGGAGGCAGCAGUGGGGAAUAUUGGACAAUGGGCGAAAGCCUGAUCCAGCCAUGCCGCGUGUGUGAAGAAGGUCUUCGGAUUGUAAAGCACUUUAAGUUGGGAGGAAGGGUUGUAGAUUAAUACUCUGCAAUUUUGACGUUACCGACAGAAUAAGCACCGGCUAACUCUGUGCCAGCAGCCGCGGUAAU